GGAACAAAUUUCAUAACGUAAAUUACUUUUAAUUAAAAAUAUUCACCUGUACAUGCGUCUAUUUUUUCUCUCUCAUUUUCAACAAACGAUGCCAUUACAAAAUACUUAUUAACGCGAUUCGUUAGCAACUGAAACAAAUAUAUUUCGUUGGAUUUACAAUUAGUAAUAAUAUGUGAUAUACGAAAGGGUUAAUUAAUUAAGUACGUAUCGAUUGGCCGGAAGAUAGUCUGCAUCGUGUAACAUGAGCUUUGCUCCAACAUGAAAUCAGGGGGGAAAGAGGAGUAGCGGUGGGCGGGGGGUAGUCAACCUGCUCGUGUCAGUGAUUCUCAUUUCGUUCGCUAUAUCUUGUCAAAUUGUCUUUUCAUUUAUACAAAUGAAAUUCGAUUUCGACCCGUUUCAAUGUUUGAUCACCAUCCGAGCUCGAACCCUUUAGAGAUCACGAUAAGAUAACAAGUGUAGAGGAAUACGACUCCAUCCUUUUCCAUCGUUCUCAUGAGCACCGUCGUAAAUUCCAAAUAAUAAUGCAUUGUACGAGCUGGCGUGUUUUGUUUCUGAAUAAGCACACUCUUGCACGUUUGCAUAAUUCGAUACGCGUCGGGGUUUACAUUGUAUUUUAAUUAUCUUCAUUACGUUACAACUUGUACAAAGUAUUUCUCCGUUGAAAUUGGAAUGCAAAUAAACGUUAAGAUAGUUAGAUGAAUAGAAAAAAUAUAUAUAUAUAUAUAAAAUUCUUUGUUACUCUA